AGGAAAGUCACAACCUAACUGUUUGAGCCCAACUCCAACUCUUGGAAACAGCUCUUUGUGUCCCUGGAUAAUCCAGGGCAAAGAACAGCCUCGGGUUUCUUCUCCAAACUCUCAGGGAAAGAGGCAAAGAACAAAGAGUCAGGCCUCUGGACAUCAGUGCCACAGCUUUCUUGCUAUUGAUUCUCCAAGUUUACAUCCUGGGCCCUCACGUAUUCCCAGAACUCUACACUCAGAUGUCCAAGUGCUAGAUGGAUAUUCACUUAACAUGCUCCAGUUGAAGCUCCCAGUCCUGACCUCCAACCUGC